rnacentral:rRNA from 1 species
GACUGACUGAAGAGUUUGAUCCUGGCUCAGGACGAACGCUGGCGGCGCGCCUAACACAUGCAAGUCGAACGGAAUGCGGAGAGGAUUUAUCUUUUCUGUGUUUAGUGGCGAACGGGUGAGUAACGCGUGAGGAACCUGCCUCAAAGAGGGGGACAACAGUUGGAAACGACUGCUAAUACCGCAUAAGCCCACGGGGCCGCAUGGCUCUGAGGGAAAAGGAGCAAUCCGCUUUGAGAUGGCCUCGCGUCCGAUUAGCUGGUUGGUGAGGUGACGGCCCACCAAGGCGACGAUCGGUAGCCGGACUGAGAGGUUGAACGGCCACAUUGGGACUGAGACACGGCCAGAUCCUACGGGAGGCAGCAGUGGGGAAUAUUGCACAAUGGGGGAAACCUGAUCAACGACCCGCGUGGAGGAAGAAGGCUCGGAUUGUAAANCCUGUUGUUGGGAAAAGAAGAUGGACCAACAGGAAUGACGGUAAUA